UACGGAGGGUGCGAGCGUUGUCCGGAAUCACUGGGCGUAAAGGGCGCGUAGGCGGCAUGCCAAGCGUGUGGUGAAAGCCCGGGGCUCAACCCCGGGUCGGCCGUGCGGACUGGCGUGCUCGAGCACUGUAGGGGCGGGUGGAAUUCCGGGUGUAGCGGUGGAAUGCGUAGAGAUCGGAAGGAACACCAGUGGCGAAGGCGACUAUCUGGACAGAUACUGACACUGAGGCGCGAGAGCGUGGGUAGCAAACAGG
rnacentral:rRNA from 1 species